rnacentral:rRNA from 1 species
CCCUUAGAUGUUCUGGGCCGCACGCGCGCUACACUGACGAAUGCAACGAGCUUAUAACCUUGGCCGAAAGGUCUGGGUAAUCUCCAAAUUUCGUCGUGAUGGGGAUAGAUUAUUGCAAUUAUUGAUCUUCAACGAGGAAUUCCUAGUAAGCGCAAGUCAUCAGCUUGCGUUGAUUACGUCCCUGCCCUUUGUACACACCGCCCGUCGCUUGUACCGAUUGGAUGGUCCGGUGAAAUCUUCGGAUAGCUGGUAGUUGGCUUGCCAUCUACUGCUAAAAGUUGCUUAAACCUUAUCAUCUAGAGGAACAAGAAGUCGUAACA